UUUCCUGUGGCUCAGGUGGCAGAGCAUUGUGCUAACAACACAGAGGUUGUGGGUUCAAACCCCAGGGACUGACAAA